UGUUACAAUUCAUUCCCGAUAGGAUUCACUUGCAGUGAAGAUGCCUUGUAACCACAAAUUUAUAAUAUGGGGGAAUUAUUAU
rnacentral:sRNA from 1 species